rnacentral:rRNA from 1 species
AGCGAACGCUGGCGGCAGGCUUAACACAUGCAAGUCGAGCGGGCGUAGCAAUACGUCAGCGGCAGACGGGUGAGUAACGCGUGGGAACGUACCUUUUGGUUCGGAACAACCCAGGGAAACUUGGGCUAAUACCGGAUAAGCCCUUACGGGGAAAGAUUUAUCGCCAAAGAAUCGGCCCGCGUCUGAUUAGCUAGUUGGUGAGGUAACGGCUCACCAAGGCGACGAUCAGUAGCUGGUCUGAGAGGAUGAUCAGCCACA